UGCCAGCAGCCGCGGUAACACGGGGGGCGCAAGCGUUAUUCGGAAUUAUUGGGCGUAAAGAGCUCGUAGGCGGUUCGGUAAGUCGGGCGUGAAAAUCCAGGGCUCAACCCUGGGACGCCACCCGAUACUGCUGUGACUAGAGUCCGGUAGAGGAGCGUGGAAUUCCUGGUGUAGCGGUGAAAUGCGCAGAUAUCAGGAGGAACACCAGCGGCGAAGGCGGCGCUCUGGGCCGGUACUGACGCUGAGGAGCGAAGACGUGGGGAGCAAACAGGAUUAGAUA
rnacentral:rRNA from 1 species